GCAACCUCCAGCCGCCCGGCCCUAGGACUUGAGCGGCUCCCUGGCCGGUGCGGAACCUGCGGGCUAAUAAUCUAGCGACCGGGAGAACGCCAAACAUCCCUGGACUAGAAGUUGCAGGGGAAAUCAAACAGCCCAGAAAGUUUAUUCUCCUUGCUGGUAUUUCUUCCACUUGCUAUUUUGCUGAGAGAUGCAUGCAAACUACCCUUAGACUUUCAGAUGCAGUGCGUUUUACUUAGCCGUGCCUGACAAACACACAGAACUUUUACCGUCUGGUAGAUCCGCCUUGACUUUACCAGCGAAUACUAAAGUCACUUAAAAAAAAAUCACAAGGCUCGAAAACAGCAGCAUUAGAAGUAGACUUUAUGGUACUCUGCUCAGCUAUGUUCUCAUUUGAUUCCAACCACUACACGGCAGAAAAGACUGAUGAGCUUCUCUGUGCAAGGGUGCCUUUUUGGAGCAAUGUCCCCAUUCGGUCCAUUGAUAUGAACCACUUCAUUGAAUGUCUUAGACGGCUUUGGUAUCAGGAUGAUGGUGGCCUCAUAAAAUGAGUUAGAGAGGAUUCCCUCUUUUUCUAUUGAUUGGAAUAGUUUCAGAAAGAAUGGUACCAGCUCCUCCUCGUACCUCUGGUAGAAUUCUGCUGUGAAUCCAUCUGGUCCUGGACUUUUUUUGGAAAGAAGACUGAAUAAUGAUUGGAAGAACGCCGGAGUCAUCAAGCUCUUUUGAUAACUGCAUAUGUGAACUAGGUCAAGUCACUCUCCCUCAACGGAUCACCAGUUUACCCAACUGUAAAUGGCAACAAUUUUGAACUGAACGUUCUUCCUUCUACAGCCAAAAUUCUUCGUUUGCUAGGUUUGUGAAGUGCUUUUAUAUGUAUGAGCGCUUUCUUAACUAUGAAGAUAUCUGAGUCAUCGAACUUUUGGUGGGGGCAAUCUCAUGAUCAGUCAUGACUAGAUUUUAGAGUUUUCUCAUCCCCAUACUCAAAGUUUUUUUUUUAAGAAUAAAAAUGAAAAGAAACAAUACCCCACAAUAUUUCUGAGCCUCAAAGGACAGACUAAAAAAGCUAACUUUUAAAAUACUUCAUUUUGAAAUAAUUUUGAACUUACAAAAAAAUCGC
rnacentral:lncRNA from 10 species